UGCGCAGGCGGUUAUACAAGACAGGCGUGAAAUCCUCGGGCUUAACCUGGGAAUGGCGUCUGUGACUGUAUAGCUAGAGUGUGUCAGAGGGGGGUGGAAUUCCACGUGUAGCAGUGAAAUGCGUAGAUAUGUGGAGGAACACCAAUGGCGAAGGCAGCCCCCUGGGAUAACACUGACGCUCAUGCACGAAAGCGUGGGGAGCAAACA
rnacentral:rRNA from 1 species